ACGAACGCUGGCGGCGUGCUUAACACAUGCAAGUCGAACGAUGAAGCCCUUCGGGGUGGAUUAGUGGCGAACGGGUGAGUAACACGUGGGCAAUCUGCCCUGCACUCUGGGACAAGCCCUGGAAACGGGGUCUAAUACCGGAUGACACCCCCUCUCGCAUGGGAGGGGGUUGAAAGCUCCGGCGGUGCAGGAUGAGCCCGCGGCCUAUCAGCUUGUUGGUGAGGUAGAAGCUCACCAAGGCGACGACGGGUAGCCG
rnacentral:rRNA from 7 species